GGGAAACCCUGAUGGAGGUCCGUAGCGAUUCUGACGUGCAAAUCGAUCGUCGGAACUGGGUAUAGGGGCGAAAGACUAAUCNAACCAUCUAGUANCUGGNUCCCUCCGAAGUUUCCCUCAAGAUANCUGGCGCUCGUAGCGUGCGAGUCUCAUCCGGUAAAGCNAAUGAUUANAGGNNUUGGGGUCGAAACGGCCUCNACCUAUUCUCAAACUUUAAAUGGGUGAGAUCUCCGGCCUGCUCGAACGUGAGGCCGCGAGACAUAUCGGGCGCGCGCGGGGGCCUCGCGCCCUCGCGCGCCGCUCCGUAAACGGAUCAGAGUGCCAAGUGGGCCACUUUUGGUAAGCAGAACUGGCGCUGUGGGAUGAACCAAACGCCGGGUUAAAGCGCCAAAGUCGACGCUUAUGGGAUACCAUGAAAGGCGUUG
rnacentral:rRNA from 1 species